rnacentral:rRNA from 1 species
CCUACGGGAGGCAGCAGUGGGGAAUUUUGGACAAUGGGCGCAAGCCUGAUCCAGCCAUGCCGCGUGUGGGAAGAAGGCCUUCGGGUUGUAAACCACUUUUGUCAGGGAAGAAACGGUCUGGUCUAAUAAACCGGACUAAUGACGGUACCUGAAGAAUAAGCACCGGCUAACUACGUGCCAGCAGCCGCGGUAAUACGUAGGGUGCAAGCGUUAAUCGGAAUUACUGGGCGUAAAGCGUGCGCAGGCGGCUUUGCAAGACAGAUGUGAAAUCCCCGGGCUCAACCUGGGAACUGCAUUUGUGACUGCAAGGCUAGAGUACGGCAGAGGGGGGAUGGAAUUCCGCGUGUAGCAGUGAAAUGCGUAGAUAUGCGGAGGAACACCGAUGGCGAAGGCAAUCCCCUGGGCCUGUACUGACGCUCAUGCACGAAAGCGUGGGGAGCAAACAGGAUUAGAUACCCUGGUAGUCCACGCCCUAAACGAUGUCAACUGGUUGUUGGGAGGGUUUCUUCUCAGUAACGAAGCUAACGCGUGAGUUCGACCGCGUGGGGAGGUACGGCCGCGAGGUAGUAAACGUUAAAGUAAGUUAGACGGCGUGAGACGUGCCGACGGACGACGACGAGGGAGGUUAGG